rnacentral:rRNA from 1 species
GACGAACGCUGGCGGCGUGCUUAACACAUGCAAGUCGAACGAUGAAGCCGGAGCUUGCUCUGGUGAAUUAGUGGCGAACGGGUGAGUAACACGUGAGUAACCUGCCCUUGACUCUGGGAUAACUGCUAGAAAUGGUAGCUAAUACCGGAUACGACCCUCGGAGGCAUCUCCAGGGGGUGGAAAGAAUUUCGGUCAAGGAUGGACUCGCGGCCUAUCAGCUAGUUGGUGAGGUAACGGCCCACCAAGGCGACGACGGGUAGCCGGCCUGCGAGGUGGACCGGCCACACUGGGACUGAGACACGGCCCAGACUCCUACGGGAGGCAGCAGUGGGGAAUAUUGCACAAUGGGCGCAAGCCUGAUGCAGCAACGCCGCGUGAGGGAUGACGGCCUUCGGGUUGUAAACCUCUUUUAGUAGGGAAGAAGCGAAAGUGACGGUACCUGCAGAAAAAGCACCGGCUAACUACGUGCCAGCCGCCGCCGUAA